rnacentral:misc_RNA from 1 species
CCAAUAGCGUAUAUUAAAGUUGUUGCAGUUAAAAAGCUCGUAGUUGAACUUCGGGGUUUACUUAUUGGUCAGGCUUAAUUGUCUGCACUGGUGAGAUGAAUCUCUACCUUCUGAGGAACUUUCAUGCCAUUUAUUUGGUGUGAUUGGAAAUCAGGACUGUUACUUUGAAAAAAUUAGAGUGUUUAAAGCAGGCUAACGUCUGAAUACAUUAGCAUGGAAUAAUGAAAUAGGACGGACUGAUUCUAUUUCGUUGGUUUCUAGGAUCACCGUAAUGAUUAAUAGGGAUAGUUGGGGGCAUUAGUAUUCAAUUGUCAGAGGUGAAAUUCUUGGAUUUAUUGAAGACUAACUACUGCGAAAGCAUUUGCCAAGAAUGUUUUCAUUAAUCAAGAACGAAAGUCAGAGGUUCGAAGACGAUCAGAUACCGUCGUAGUUCUGACCAUAAACGAUGUCGACUAGCGAUCCGCGGCCGUUGUUCAUAUGACUUCGCGGGCAGCCUUCG